ACGUAGGUGGCAAGCGUUAUCCGGAUUUACUGGGUGUAAAGGGCGAGUAGGCGGGAUUGCAAGUCAGAUGUGAAAACUAUGGGCUCAACCCAUAGACUGCAUUUGAAACUGUAGUUCUUGAGUGAUGGAGAGGCAGGCGGAAUUCCCGGUGUAGCGGUGGAAUGCGUAGAUAUCGGGAGGAACACCAGUGGCGAAGGCGGCCUGCUGGACAUUAACUGACGCUGAGGCGCGAAAGCGUGGGGAGCAAACAG
rnacentral:rRNA from 1 species